CACGUUUUGCACACGUGUAAUAAAUAGUACUAAAAAUGACAAUGCCUCUCAGUAUAAUAAAUGAAUUAAGCUCUUAAUCACUAAGUAGUAAUUACGAAACGACAAACUAGUCGUUAGACGAAUAUAAAAAUGACAUGCAAUGAGACAACAGCCGCCCUGUCAGAAACGUCCUUACAAACUACAAACCUAUUGUCUGUUACACAUCUGUCCUGAUGAAAAAUCUACUGUAUUCAAUUUCUUUGGCACUAGCGUCGUCAAGUGUAUUUCCAUUUGAGACGCGUGGGCGGCUCACUCCAUCUAACAGGCGGCCACUGACAAGAAGAUGGCUAUUAGCGGCCUGAUAACUACAGUCCUUUAUUGUUUCCAAUAUAUAGAGACGAAACCUCCUAGCGUUCAAUGCAUUCACCGUGCGGGUGUUGGGUCCAUCGCGUUGCAGGGAGAGGAGCUUCAACAUUGCCUGGGACUUUCAACCCAGGUGAAGGUUUAAGGGGCCCCUAUCUAACGCGCGUUAACGCUCACCUCCGCCGUCCAAGCUCCUCUCUAUACCUAACUAAACUUGAAAGGAACCUACUAGGGCUGUCUUCAAAGUACAUUCCAGGAAUGAAAAAAAAAUAAAGAUAUUUAAUAUAUGUAAAUAAAAAAUAUAUUACACAUAACAGGUUUACUAACUACAGCUCGUUGUGUUCAUGAUUAUAAAUAUGUUUACGCUCUUUAACUUUAAACCGAAAUCUGUUUUGUUUAAUAAAUUUAAAUUCAACCUA